rnacentral:rRNA from 1 species
UAACGGCUGAACCAGCAACUUGGGGGAAUAAAUAUAAUGAUAUAAAUAAUAUCAUUAUUUUUCUAAAUAGGAUAAUGAUUAUGACAAUUUUCUAUUUAUAAGUCUUGACCAAAUUACGUGCCAGCAGUCGCGGUAAUACGUAGAAGACAAGUGUUAGUCAUCUUGAUUGGGUUUAAAGGGUACCUAGACGGUAUAAUAAAUCUGAUAAAGAUAUUUAUUUACUAGAGUUUUAUAGGAGAAAGGGAGAACUUUUGGAGGAAAGAUAUAAUUUUUUAAUACCAAUAGGACUGAUAACGGCGAAGGCGACUUUCUAUGUUAAAACUGACGUUGAGGGACGAAGGCUUGGGGAGCGAAAAGGAUUAGAUACCCUAAUAGUCCAAGCAGAAAAUUAUGAAUGCCAUAAGUUAGAUUCAACAUUUAACUUGUAUUAUAAGUUUAAAUGUACAAAUAUAUUUGACAUAUAAAUGAAAGUGUAAGCAUUCCACCUUAAGAGUAAGAUGGCAACAUUGAAACUGAAAUCAUUAGACCGU